rnacentral:pre_miRNA from 1 species
AGUAAGAUAGCUGGAUCAAAUGGUGGUUCCAUUCCAGGUUUUCUAAGGAAUCUCCAUACUGCUUUCCAUAGUGGUUGUGCCAAUUUGCAAUGCCACUAGCAAU